rnacentral:piRNA from 1 species
UGCCGCACCAGAGAACCAGGCCUACAUGA